AUGUAGCAAUGGGUUGCAAAGCAUGACAGAAAGGUCAUGACACACAGAAUCCCAGAGCUGACUGGGGAAGGUUCCAAACUGUUGAGGAGACUGUUGAACUCAUUUGGGGGUUUGCAACUGAGAUAGAAGCUCGAGGUUGCUGAUCUGUGCUCCUGUGGACAUCUCUGGAUCAUACUGCAAGCAGCCCUCUGGACAAUAGUGGAUAGGAGUGUCCCAAUUAUCCUUGGGUGGACUCGGGGAAAGAUUGGGAGCUCCAGUCAUUCUCUAGAUCAUCUAGGACUCCUCAUCUGGACCCCAGCCUCUACUUGCCAAAAGACUAUUUGAAACAGUGGACUUAAGAAAAUGACUAAUGAGAAAACCAAAGUUGAAUAGGAAAUGUUACAUUCAAACAAACUCAAGAGGAAUACAAAAAGAUCCUCCAGAACCCCAGACAAUGGGUAAGAACUUUGAGAGACAAGCAGUGAAAAUCUCUACAACUCCUUUUGAACCUUGAACUUGGGGACACUUGCUGUGCCAGCCAAGAAACCAGGCUUUUUCUACUGUGAAUUCCUCGAGGGUUCAGGUUAUCAGACCUGAGCUACCUAACUUUGGGGGGAAGGGUGUUAAUUAGAUAGGGAACCCCUCUCCAUCUUUCCCUCCUGAAUCUCAAUCUUUUCCAUUCAUCAGUUCUGUACUUUUCCUGCUUCCCUUGAAUAAACUCAGGCAUUAGGACCCA
rnacentral:lncRNA from 1 species